UGCUUGCACCUCUGGCGUCGAGCGGCGGACGGGUGAGUAAUGCUUGGGAAUAUGCCUUAUGGUGGGGGACAACAGUUGGAAACGACUGCUAAUACCGCAUGAUGUCUACGGACCAAAGUGGGGGACCUUCGGGCCUCACGCCAUAAGAUUAGCCCAAGUGGGAUUAGCUAGUUGGUGAGGUAAUGGCUCACCAAGGCGACGAUCCCUAGCUGGUUUGAGAGGAUGAUCAGCCACACUGGGACUGAGACACGGCCCAGACUCCUACGGGAGGCAGCAGUGGGGAAUAUUGCACAAUGGGCGCAAGCCUGAUGCAGCCAUGCCGCGUGUGUGAAGAAGGCCUUCGGGUUGUAAAGCACUUUCA
rnacentral:rRNA from 1 species